rnacentral:rRNA from 1 species
AACGAACGCUGGCGGCAGGCUUAACACAUGCAAGUCGAGCGCAUCCUUCAGGGUGAGCGGCAGACGGGUGAGUAACGCGUGGGAACGUACCCUUUCCUACGGAAUAGCUCCGGGAAACUGGAAUUAAUACCGUAUACGCCCUUAGGGGGAAAGAUUUAUCGGGGAAGGAUCGGCCCGCGUUGGAUUAGCUAGUUGGUGGGGUAAAGGCCUACCAAGGCGACGAUCCAUAGCUGGUCUGAGAGGAUGAUCAGCCACAUUGGGACUGAGACACGGCCCAAACUCCUACGGGAGGCAGCAGUGGGGAAUAUUGGACAAUGGGCGCAAGCCUGAUCCAGCCAUGCCGCGUGAGUGAUGAAGGCCUUAGGGUUGUAAAGCUCUUUCAGUAGGGAAGAUAAUGACGGUACCUACAGAAGAAGCCCCGGCUAACUUCGUGCCAGCCGCCGCUGUAA